AUGGUAAUGGCAAUGCUAUAGUCUCAAGGGAUUUGGCCAAUUCUUUGGACGCGAACUCUACAGCAUUAGAAAGUAAAAACUAUUCUGAAUUGCCGAAAAACAGCGUUGGAGAAAGCUGGUCUGAUAAAGAAAGUACAAGGAACCAAGGCGCCUUUUUAAGUAAUGAGAGCGAUCAGGAAGACAGCGGCGACGGUCUUCACCAGGCCACGUCGAGUAUGGAUUCGACUUCUGGAAGUAGGACCAGUAGGAAAUCGAAUGUUUCCGAGGUUGCCGAGUUGAAUUCAGGAAGUAAGGAUGACAACGAGAACGUGAAAGAUGGCGGACUGGAUACGACGAAUGCCGCCGAUGUUCCUCCGACUCUCGUCCGAAGGCCACCAAUCGUCAACCGGUAUGACGUUGAAACGGAAAGUGAAAGUUAUAGCACGGAGUCUAAGACCAUGGACACGGAAGAUGAAUUGAUUGAAAGAUUUGAGCAUUUUGAGAUUUCGGGGGAAAACGAAGUCGACGUCGCCUAUAAAAAUGACGAAGACUAUAAAAACAUGAACGAAUUACCCGAGUGUGACACUCUCGGCAGUAAUCAUCCAGGGACUAAAGAAAACACUUCGAAUACCGAACCACGCGAAGAAGAAGAUAUCAGAAGAAGCGACGGCAUUAAUAACGAUACUUCACCCCAGGGUAAUGGAAUUUCGCAGAGCAAUUUAGCUACAGAUCAUCAAUCCUCAGCGAUGAUGAAGCUACUCUUUCUAAUAAACAACUAACCUCCCUCCCGGAUGAUCAUUCUAGGAACUCGGAUAUAACUGAGAGUCGGAGCCGAACCCUUACGUCCGAUGACGAGGGUUUCCGAACUGAAGACGAUGUUUUGGAUCUCCUUGAUGGCGAGGAUGAUGCUAUGAUUGGUGAGCCUAAGGGUGACAAUACAACAUCUACGACAAAGAAACGACAAAGUGCGAGUACAUCUAGGGUUGAGAAUGGUAAUUUUAGAACUACGAGUGAUAAUCGAAAUGACAUCGACUAUAGGACAAUUGGUAGUAAUGAUAAACAAACCAUGGAUAAUACUGAGAUUUUGAGAGAUAGAAAUGUUCAGCAAGAUAAAAUUGAUGGGGUUACCCAGGAAAAUAAGCCAGACUUAGAUUCCGUAAAUCUCACGGAAAAGGUAAGCGGCAAUACACAGGUAAGAUCUGAUGAUAAUAGUUCUAAGGGUGAGGAAGUUACUGUCAGCUGUCACAAUCAAGACAACACAGAACCUAAUUCCGAUGGAAAUAAGACAGAAGACGAAGAGUUGACUGAAAAUAUUAGCGAGUCUAGUUGUCCCACAAGAGCGUCUUUAAGAUCAGAUAGUUCUCUUUCUGAAGAACCUCCUGCAGCUGAAAACGCUUUAGAGGCCAUCAUAGCUACGCUAUCCUUGCCCGAUAACCGCCGGGGCACGGUGCAGACUGGAAGAGAUGGUAACGAAAACAUUCCGAGUGGUUCCGAACGAACGUCCGAAGUCGUUUCUGCUGAGAACAGAUCUGACUCGGAAGGGAGCGAGGUUGCUUCGGAACAAGUUCGUUACUAGAUCGCGUUGUAUAGAUAUGACCCGAUGACUAUGUCGCCGAAUGUGGACGGAGCUGACGAAGAAUUGCCAUUCAAUGAAGGAGACAUUAUCAGGGUGAUUGGCGAUGUGGACGAUGAUGGUUUUCUCUGGGGUGAAUGUAAACUCAAGCAAGGAUUGGUUCCAUCAAAUAUGGUCUCAGAAGACGAUAUCAACGAAGCAGAAGACUUGUUUAACGAAGAUACCAAUGACGUCAAAUUGCAAAAAAUUCCAAACGAGGGAUUGACCAUUCCCGUAUAGGUGCAUUACGACAUUUUCCCAUCACA
rnacentral:lncRNA from 1 species